rnacentral:SRP_RNA from 1 species
GCCAGGUGUAGUGGUGCACAUCUGUAGUCCCAGCUCCUUGGGAGGCUGAGGCAGGAGGAUUGCUUGAGCCCAGGAGUUCAAGGCUGCAGUGAACUAUGAUUGCACCACUGCACUCCAGCCUGGGCGACAGAGCAAGACCCUAUCUCUA